rnacentral:rRNA from 1 species
AUGAUUCCCAAUCAGCCUAUGGCGCAAAUGAGCCCAGACGCGGUUCCCUCCCGCCACCCUCUCGCCGCCGACCCGCUGCCGGCGCUCCGCCGGCUCCGGGCCGCCGCGCCGCGCGUCUUCGGGCAGCUCCACGCGCUGCUCCUCACCUCCGGCCUCGCGCUCCACUCCCCCAACUUCACCCUCCUCCUCCGCCUCGCCUCCUCCUCCGUCCCCUCCCUCUCCCACCGCCUCCAGCUCCUCCUAUGCUCCCCACUGCCGCCCACCGCUUUUCUCGCCAACUCCCUCCUCCUCGCGCACCUCCCUUCCGCGCCCCCCCUCUACUCCCUCCUCUUCCUCGCCUCUCCCCCGCUCCUCCGCCCCAACGAGUUCACCUAUCCGGCCCUCCUCCGCGCCUCCCCACCCCGCACCGCGCUCGCGCUCGCCACCCAUUCGCUUAAAUUCCUCGGCGCCGGGGCCGCCUCCAGCGACCGCGUCCUCGGGUCCGCGCUGCUCGACGCCUUCGCCCGCUGUGGCAGGAUCGCGUCCUGCCGCCGGGUGUUCGACAGGAUCGCCGAGCCGGACCUGCCGGCCUGGAAUGCGCUGCUCACCGCCUACGCGCGCCGGGCCAGGGAUUCGUCGUGCGCCGGCGAGGCGGCGGAGAUUCUUGAGCUGUUUGCGCGCAUGGUCUCAUCGACGGUCCCGCCAAACGAGAUCACGCUCGUCGCCGUCGUCGGCGCAUGCGGGGAGCUCGGCGCUCUCGGGCACGGCCUGUGGGCGCACGCGUAUGCUCUCAAGCGCAGGCUGACCGUGAACUGUUACGUGGCCACCGCGCUCGUGGAGAUGUACACCAGGUGCGGCAAAAUGGACCUGGCCGAGCAGGUGUUCGCUGGCGUUACGGACAUGGACACAUGCUGCUACAAUGCCAUGCUCCAGGGCUUGGCAUUCCAUGGGCAUGGCCGAGUUGCCCUCACCUUGUUUGACAGGAUGUGUGCCGAGGGCUUCCCGGUUGAUAGCGUCACGGUGCUGGCGGUGAUGUGCGCGUGCGCCCACGCUGGGUUGGUGGAUGAAGGGCAGUGGCUCUUCGACAGAAUGGAGAUUCAGUUUGGGGUCACACCGAGGAUUGAGCAUUAUGGAUGCAUGGUUGACAUACUGGGCCGAGCUGGUCAUCUUGAUGUUGCCGAGAAGCUUAUCCGAGGGAUGGACAUUACGCCGAACGCCGCAAUGUACAGGUCUUUGAUACGGGCAUGUGGGAUUCAUGGCAAGCUAGAAAUUGGGGAGAGGAUGAUCCAAGAGCUGAUGAGGCUCGAGCCAGAGCACAGUGGAAAUUAUGUCCUGCUGUCCAACUUCUACGCGAGAAUGAAACUAUGGGAGGACGCAAAGAAGGCGAGGAAGGAGAUGAAGGCCAUGGGCAUUGACAAGAGCCCCGGGUCAAGCCUCCUUGACAUCAAUGGUGUUCUCCAUGAAUUCUUGAUGGGUGACAAGACACACCCUGCCUCAAGGGAGAUAUACGCCAUGAUUCAAGAGAUCCAAGCCAGAUUGAAGGAAUGCGGGCACCGGCCGAGCACCACGGCUGUGAUGUUCAACGUCGAGGAGGAGGACAAAGUAGGUGCGCUGUCCUACCACAGCGAGAGGCUCGCCAUUGCCUUCGCCCUGAUCGCCUCCUCUCCGGGUGCGCCCAUCAGGAUCAUCAAGAACCUCCGGGUGUGCAGUGAUUGUCACGAGAGCACGAAGCUCGUCUCCCGGGUGUAUGGAAGGGAGAUCAUCAUGAGGGACCGCACCCGGUUCCAUCACUUCAGAGAUGGCCAUUGCUCAUGUGGAGAUUUCUGGUGA